GAUGAACGCUAGCUACAGGCUUAACACAUGCAAGUCGAGGGGAAACGCCAUCGAAAGCUUGCUUUUGAUGGGCGUCGACCGGCGCACGGGUGAGUAACGCGUAUCCAACCUGCCCACCACUUGGGGAUAACCUUGCGAAAGUAAGACUAAUACCUACUGAUAUCCCACGAAGACAUCUGAAUGGGAUUAAAUAUUUAUCGGUGAUGGAUGGGGAUGCGUCUGAUUAGCUUGUUGGCGAGGUAACGGCCCACCAAGGCAACGAUCAGUAGGGGUUCUGAGAGGAAGGUCCACCACAUUGGAAACGCGACACGGUCCCAACUGCUACGGGAGGCAGCAGUGAGGAAGACUAGUCACUGGGCCAGAGCCUGACCAAGCCAAGUAGCGUGCAGGAAGACGGCCGUAUGGGUUGUAAACUGCUUUUAUAAGGGAAUAAAGUGGGUAACGUGUGACUUUUUGCAUGUACCUUAUGAAUAAGGACCGGCUAAUUCCGUG
rnacentral:rRNA from 1 species